rnacentral:rRNA from 1 species
GACGAACGCUGGCGGCGUGCUUAACACAUGCAAGUCGAACGAAGAGCGAUGGAAGCUUGCUUCUAUCAAUCUUAGUGGCGAACGGGUGAGUAACGCGUAAUCAACCUGCCCUUCAGAGGGGGACAACAGUUGGAAACGACUGCUAAUACCGCAUACGAUCUAAACUCGGCAUCGAGGAUAGAUGAAAGGUGGCCUCUACAUGUAAGCUAUCACUGAAGGAGGGGAUUGCGUCUGAUUAGCUAGUUGGAGGGGUAACGGCCCACCAAGGCGAUGAUCAGUAGCCGGUCUGAGAGGAUGAACGGCCACAUUGGGACUGAGACACGGCCCAGACUCCUACGGGAGGCAGCAGUGGGGAAUCUUCCGCAAUGGACGAAAGUCUGACGGAGCAACGCCGCGGGAGUGAUGACGGCCUUCGGGUUGUAAAGCUCUGUUAAUCGGGACGAAAGGCCUUCUUGCGAAUAGGGAGAAGGAUUGACGGUACCGGAAGAGAAAGCCACGGCUAACUACGUG